rnacentral:lncRNA from 8 species
AUGACUGUCUACCCUCAGAGUUUAUCACGUGCAGUGAUAUUCAGGAGUCAGCAAAUCAAGUCUUCAUACAUACACACGUAUAACGUUGUACACGUCCUGAAAUGGCUCGGUCCUGAUUGGGGUUUUGAUGCUGUCCAGAAGAAGCGCAGUGGCUCCUCGGUUUGUCUCGACCUGACGGCGGCUUCUCACGUUGAUGAUCCGUGGACUGGCUGGUGGAAUCAUUCUUGGUUAACCUGAUGAAUACUCUGUCAACAGAAAUGUGCGCUGUUGGGAGCGUAACAAAGUGUCCUUUCUUUUACUGCGUUUUGGAGAAGUUUUCCAGUUAGGGCAUUUCUGACCAAAUUUACAAAUGUAAUUCUAGCCAAUCACCCUGUGUAUAAGAACAUACCCAAAUGUUAUCCGCAGUUCUAAAGCAGUCAGGCAGAGAAACAGUUGUUUGACAGGCUGCUCUGAUAACCCUCUUGACAAAAGUCACUAUAGCUCUGAGGCAGUGGCUGAUAAUAGCUCACCAGAACGCACAAUGGGCGAAUCAUUUUUGCAUCGCCCGGUGCCCCGGUUGGACGGGGCUGGCUCAUUUUAGACCAUUCCAUUGGUCGUAAAAUAAAAUCUCCACCCACUUUGGGCAAUCUUGGAAAACGAAACAUUUCCGAGUUAAAGGAGCAGGGCGGGGUCUUGAAAUGGAAGGAAUUCGAUGUCCCAGGCAUGCCCCUUGUGAACGGGGUUAGCAUUGAUUGUAUUCAUUUUGAAACCGGCCUGCCUCCCGCAAGUGAGCCGGGUGCCCCUGUCAAAGACGGCGAAGUCGGCUGGAAACAAAAGUGAGGUAUGUCAAGCACGUGGAGUAAUGAGUUAAGAUUCAGUGUUUUCACAUGCAUAAGCGUUUGCUCUUUAUUAAAACGUAUAUCGCUUUACCUGCCUUCCCAAGGAAAACUACAAAAAUGGUAGCCUAAUGUAUAGCCAAUUUGAUAGAAAAUGCAUGUUUGAUGUUUCUGAACAAUGCAUCAUGCUGUUUUGUUGACAUUAUGGCCCGGUGAUGGUCGAUUUGACCCGGUGCUCCUCCCUCACCGAUUUCUUGCACAGUGAGGUGAGGAGCCAUAUCCCGGUUUACCCCGGUUCAGUCUAAUAGAACUCCCACCUUGAGCUCAUUAUGUAGGUAGCCCAGCUUGAAUAGCCUCAAGGGAUGCCACUGAAACACUACACACUACUGAAAGAUGACAUAGGAUUGAUGGUCACAGGAACAAGCAUUAACAAUUUCUUUAUUCACUUUUAAAAAGUCACACAUUUGACUUUGAGUCAAGUAAUGCUCUUAGGCUGAUGACUAGCUAUAGCUGAUUGCUGUUUAUGUUCUUUAAAUAUGAGAAAAUGAUAUUUUAUUUGUCUAUAAAUCAGCCUAUUAUUGUAUUCAAUGACAAAAUAAAACGUCUCAAUCGAAAUGGCUUACAAUUCACUUUAGUUAAAGGGGCAAUGCAGUCAAAAAUGUGAUUUCCUGUGUUUUAUAUUUCCCCACUGUGAGGCUGGAAUUAUACUAUGAAAUUGUGAAAAUUAUGAUAAUACCCUUCAGUGUAAGAGCUGAAAUUUCAGCUCGUUUUGCAUGGGUGGAGUGAUAUCACCAGGCAGCAGAGGUGGCACCACAGGUCUCCUGAUGGUAACCAGGUAAAACUCAGGAACCUAGUUGUAAAGUUUGCCCUAUUGCCUGGGGCAAGUGAACUGAGCAGUCGG